GCUGGGUGUGGUGGGGCACACCUGUAAUCCCAGCAACUCAGGAGGCUAAAGCAGGAGGAAUGCAGGUUCAAACCACUCUCAGCAACUUAGCAAGACCCUGCUUCAA
rnacentral:sRNA from 1 species